CCUACGGGUGGCUGCAGUGGGGAAUAUUGGACAAUGGGGGCAACCCUGAUCCAGCCAUGCCGCGUGUGUGAAGAAGGCCCUCGGGUUGUAAAGCACUUUCAGUGAGGAAGAACGCCUGGUGGUUAAUACCCAUCAGGAAAGACAUCACUCACAGAAGAAGCACCGGCUAACUCCGUGCCAGCAGCCGCGGUAAUACGGAGGGUGCGAGCGUUAAUCGGAAUUACUGGGCGUAAAGCGCGCGUAGGUGGCUUGAUAAGCCGGUUGUGAAAGCCCCGGGCUCAACCUGGGAACGGCAUCCGGAACUGUCAAGCUAGAGUGCAGGGGAGGAAGGUAGAAUUCCCGGUGGAGCGGUGAAAGGCGUAGAGAUCGGGAGGAAUACCAGUGGCGAAGGCGGCCUUCUGGACUGACACUGACACUGAGGUGCGAAAGCGUGGGUAGCAAACAGGAUUAGAUACCCGUGUAGUC
rnacentral:rRNA from 1 species